rnacentral:misc_RNA from 1 species
AAAGUCGUAACAAGGUUUCCGUAGGUGAACCUGCGGAAGGAUCAUUAAUGAUUUUUUAAGUGUAUCGAGCUUUUUUCGAGCGAGAUAUGCGAAUGUAUUUAAAACCCUACUCUUUUAUGUAAUCUAAUCGUAUACAUGUUAAAUAUGUGUAAAAAAAAAAGAUCACUUUCAACAACGGAUCUCUUGGUUCUC